rnacentral:rRNA from 1 species
AGCAGCCGCGGUAAUUCCAGCUCCAAUAGCGUAUAUUAAAGUUGUUGCAGUUAAAAAGCUCGUAGUUGAAUUUCGGGAUCAAAUUGUCGGUCGUGCCUCGGUACGCACUGGUAUUAUUGGUUCCUACCUUCUGAAGAACCGCGAUGUCAUUAAUUUGGUGUCGUGGGGAAUCAGGACUGUUACUUUGAAAAAAUUAGAGUGUUUAAAGCAGGCUUACGCUUGAAUACAUUAGCAUGGAAUAAUGAAAUAGGACGUUCGAUUCUAUUUUGUUGGUUUCUAGGAUUGACGUAAUGAUUAAUAGGGAUAGUUGGGGGCAUUAGUAUUCAAUUGUCAGAGGUGAAAUUCUUGGAUUUAUUGAAGACUAACUACUGCGAAAGCAUUUGCCAAGGAUGUUUUCAUUAAUCAAGAACGAAAGUUAGGGGAUCGAAGACGAUCAGAUACCGUCGUAGUCUUAACCAUAAACUAUGCCGACUAGGGAUCGGAUGAUGUUAAUUUUUAAUGACUCAUUCGGCGCCUUACG